AUUCAUCCAGGUCAGAUUACCACCAGAGGGCGUCUGACAGCUCAUUCCCUGGGGAUGUCAGCUGAGCCACGGCACCUGCUGACCUGCCCCGGGGCGGCGGAAAUAGGGGAAAGGGCACUAGAGAGAGAAAGCCAAGGACGUGACCAGGUGACAAAUGGACAAGAAGAGGAAGAAAGACAGAUUCUGCCCAUGUCCACAGGCCCUGGGAUUAGGGCUGCGUGGGGUAGAUGCUCCAGGAGCAGCAAGCCAUGGGGGCUAAGAGCUCUUCCCUCUUAUUUUGGAAGCUGUCAUCAUCUGCUUUGGAGGAGCUACUUCUCCCUCCUCGGAAUCUUGAGGGAACUGUCAAUCAAGGUACUUUUCACCUUUGCCAAAGUUGAACCUGAGAUCCCAGCCAAGCCAGGACUUUGAACAUUGCGUGUAAUGACAUAGAUAGAGAAAACAGUUGAGCUGAGGUAU
rnacentral:lncRNA from 1 species